rnacentral:rRNA from 1 species
UACGAAGGGGGCUAGCGUUGCUCGGAAUCACUGGGCGUAAAGGGCUCGUAGGCGGCCAACUAAGUCGGACGUGAAAUCCCCAGGCUCAACCUGGGAACUGCGUCCGAUACUGGAUGGCUUGAAUCCGGGAGAGGGAUGCAGAAUUCCAGGUGUAGCGGUGAAAUGCGUAGAUAUCUGGAGGAACACCGGUGGCGAAGGCGGGUCUCUGGGCAUUAACUGACGCUGAGGAGCGAAAGCAUGGGGAGCGAACAGG